rnacentral:rRNA from 1 species
UGGCGGACGGGUGAGUAACGCGUGAGUAACCUGCCCUUAAGAAAGGGAUAGCGUCUUGAAACGGACGGUAAUACCAUAUAAAGUAUAUUAACGGCAUCGUAGAUAUACCAAAGCUGAGGCGCCUAAGGAUGGACUCGCGUCUGAUUAGAUAGUUGGUGGGGUAACGGCCUACCAAGUCGACGAUCAGUAGCCGGACUGAGAGGUUGAACGGCCACAUUGGGACUGAGACACGGCCCAGACUCCUACGGGAGGCAGCAG